UACGUAGGGGGGCAAGCGUUGUCCGGAAUCAUUGGGCGUAAAGAGCGCGUAGGCGGCCCGAUAAGUCCGCUGUGAAAGUCAAGGGCUCAACCCUUGAAUGCCGGUGGAUACUGUCGGGCUAGAGUCCGGAAGAGGCGAGUGGAAUUCCUGGUGUAGCGGUGAAAUGCGCAGAUAUCAGGAGGAACACCGGUGGCGAAGGCGGAUCUCUGGGCCUUGCCUGACGCUGAGGCGCGAAAGCUAGGGGAGCGAACAGG
rnacentral:rRNA from 1 species